rnacentral:rRNA from 1 species
UGGGGAAUCUUGCACAGUGGGCGAAAGCCUGAUGCAGCAACGCCGCGUGCGGGAUGAAGGCCCUAGGGUUGUAAACCGCUUUCAGUAGGGAAGAAAAUGACGGUACCUACAGAAGAAGGUGCGGCCAACUACGUGCCAGCAGCCGCGGUGACACGUAGGCACCAAGCGUUAUCCGGAUUUAUUGGGCGUAAAGAGCUCGUAGGCGGUUUGGUAAGUCGGGUGUGAAAACUCUGGGCUCAACCCAGAGAGGCCACCCGAUACUGCUAUGACUAGAGUACGGUAGGGGAGCGGGGAAUUCAUGGUGUAGCGGUGAAAUGCGCAGAUAUCAUGAGGAACACCAGCGGCGAAGGCGCCGCUCUGGGCCGUAACUGACGCUGAGGAGCGAAAGCAUGGGUAGCAAACAGGAUUAGAUACCCUGGUAGUCCAUGCCGUAAACGUUGGGCACUAGGUGUGGGUCUCAACCGACGAGAUCCGCGCCGUCGCUAACGCU